CAAUUUUGGUGAUGCAUUCGAGGACGCUCUGUUGGUUUCAGCUCUGCUCUGAGUCUGUUGGUUUUCCUGCAGGGUGGACCGGGACCAGAUGGAAACCCGGGAUUAGCCGGACGCCGCGGAGCCAACGGACAGAAGGGCCAACCAGGAGAUCCGGGAGAUAAAGGUGUUCCAGGAUCGCAGGGACCCAGAGGGAUGCCGGGUCAGGAUGGAAAAGACGGUUACGGACCUGCAGGACCUAAAGGUGCCAAGGGAGAUCCUGGUUUUCCUGGUUACCCUGGUCUACUGGUGAGUCCAUCUGUUCCCAACAUUAUCAGGGGCCAAAUAAAGCUGGACGCUGAACAUUUAACACACAGACAGAGAGACAAACAGCAGAGUCCACUUCAACAGCAGAAGCAACCAAACGAAGGAAGAGAAAAGAUAAAUACUGUCUGUAUACACCGAUUAUAUCUCAUUGCUUCCUGCAGUGGUUCACAUUAACCGCUGCUGACAUCAGUAUUUUUACUUACUUACUGUUGUUUCUUGGAGUAUCGUAAAAUGAUUCAUAUCCCUAAAAUUUGUUCAACCUCAGAUAAGAGGUUAUACAAACUAUAAUACUUGAAAAAGGUUCUAAAACUCAGUCAUAAAUAAAGAAAAUUGACCUGUUUUUCAUCAGAUUUUAUUAAAUAAAAACAGAAAAACACUUUCUAAAGAAAAAAUGAACAAAAAUUUGUACAGAAGUUAUUUGAAUAUUUUUUGGCUGCUCCUCUUUUCUUACUUUGCCUCAAGUAUGUGUCUCUUAAGUAAGAUUUAUACAACAUGCAAAACAGAGGAAAACAAGAGGAUUAGUGUCUGAAGGGAAGACUCAGAGGUCAAUGGAUUAAUGCCAGGUUUUCCAUCGCCUAGUGUUAGCCUAACUCUGGAGCGUUAUUUAGCCUCUUCGGUUGCCAGCGCCACCCCUCGCCCUCUGCUCCUCCGGGGUGGCGAGGAGGCGUUUUAGGCUGCAUUAGACGUGUUUACAGUCCGAUGAAUUACUAAUGACAGGCUGAUGUUAUUGAGGUAAGAGAGUGCACUGAAACAUCCUGCCUUUAUUUAUCCUCUCACUCGGUCUGGUAGAGAGGGCUUAAAGUCCGAGUGUGUUUGGAUAUUUGAAGAUAAUCCAGAGUCAAUGUCUGAGAAACAGGAAGCCUGUCGAAGUGGUGCGUUCGCUGUGUGACAGAGAUUGUGUGUUUGUUGUUCAGGGUGAGAUCGGCAAGCCGGGACCCAAAGGAUACCCAGGACGUAAAGGGAACCCGGGUCGAGGCGGAAACUCAGGCGUGUCGGGAGAAUCAGGCGUAAAUGGAGACCCGGGACAUCCAGGACGCAGGGGUCCCAGAGGUCCUGCUGGAAACAUGAACAUGACAGAGUGCCAGCUGAUCACUUACAUCCGAGACAACUGUGCCUGUGCCAUCGAUAAAUCAGAGUGCCCAGCGUAUCCCACCGAGCUGGUGUUCGGUCUGGAUAUGUCCGAGGACGUGACCCCGGCAGCCUUCGAGAGGCAGCGCUCUGCCCUCCUCUCCCUGCUGAACGACAUCACCAUCGC